AUGGCUCGGCAGCGGAUCACCACUUAUGCAAUGCUCGCUCCGGAGCGUCGGUUAGAGCUCCUUGAGGAGAUCCAGGCCCGGCACGAAGCUCGGAUUGCAGCCGGCCUGCCUCCAGAGCCGGAGCAACAGGAGGAGGAUGCAGAGCAGCAGGUGCUGGACACGGCCUGGAGGAUGCGGAGCCAGAGGAGGAAGGCGAGGCAGAUCCGGCGUCCGGCUGCCGGAUUCAGCAUGGCCGACGCGCCGGGCGAGUUUGAGGUCGCCCAAGCGGAGGAGGCGGCGGAGCAGCAGGCCAUCCUCGGCUCCAUCCGCUCAAAGGCGGAGGUGGAGGCAAACCUCCGCGAGGCACAGGCGGCGGAGGUGGAGUCCGACAGGGAGCCGAAGCAGCGGGAGGCGGCCAUCCACCAGGAGGCAGGGCAUAAUGUGAUGUGA
rnacentral:rRNA from 1 species